GGUCGGUUAGCUCAGCUGGUUUGAGCGUGGCGCUAAUAACGCCAAGGUUGUGAGUUCAAUCCCUACACAGGCCA